rnacentral:rRNA from 1 species
GUCCACGCCCUAAACGAUGUCAACUGGUUGUUGGGGAAUUGAUUUCCUUAGUAACGAAGCUAACGCGUGAAGUUGACCGCCUGGGGAGUACGGUCGCAAGAUUAAAACUCAAAGGAAUUGACGGGGCCCGCACAAGCGGUGGAUGAUGUGGUUUAAUUCGAUGCAACGCGAAACCUUACCUACCCUUGACAUGUCGCAAAGCCUGCUGAAAGGUGGGUGUGCCCGAAAGGGAAUGCGAACACAGGUGCUGCAUGGCUGUCGU